GCCUUCUGCACUCUCUCUUACGUUCUAUCCCACCACAGAGUUGUCCAGGUUUGUUCACUGAUAGUUCUCCUGUUCAUAAACAUCUUCUGGGGGUGACUGGAUCAUUUAGAGCUGCUGCUAAAUUGGUGUCGUGACAAGAGAUGUUGCGCUUGUUGUGAUGAGCUUUAAACUUCAGCUGCCAACGUGCCACGAUCAAAGAGUUCAUUGGAUCUGUUUUGGAGUCAGCACGUUGCACUUUUCUGAUGCUGCACAAGAAUUCAAAGCUACUGCCUGCUUCCCCUUUUGGCAGCACCUUCUGCA
rnacentral:lncRNA from 1 species